CUGAGUCUGUAAAACAUCUAAUGAUUGCUAUUAUAAUACUGCUGCUGCUGCUGCUAGUGAUCUCAGCUUCAGCUGUGUUGAUGUCCAGUCGCAGGAGACACAAACAAUCAACACAAGAAACUCGGACUACUGUGGAAGAGGUGGAGUAUACUGAUGCCAUGAUUACUACAAACAAAGCUCAAGAUUCGGAGACUAAUGGACAGAAUCAGACAGAGUAUUCAGAGGUGUUUUUCAGAUGAUGAUCAUUCAGACUGUAUUAUUAUAAAGCUCAUCUUAUUACAGGCCAGAGCAUUUUGGAGCAAAUAUCAGAAUGUAACAAAGCUUCAAGUCUCAAAGUUGCACUGCAAAUCUACUGGUUGUGGCAUUGUUUACUACAAAUGAUAAAAGUACUUGAUGAAGAGAAUUUGAUCCUUAACAAGAAAAAAUACUAGAAUUGUAGAGUUUUCACAACAGGCAACCUUUCACUUAAUUUAAUUUCUGACCUCAAUCUUGUCUGAGGCUGCACAGCUUCAUACCUUCAUACCUAGUAUAAUCAUGUCUAGACUUGAGUUUAGCUGGUUUGUGUAGUAUAAUUUUCACACCCAUCCAAGUGAUUCAUAUCCUAGUUCUGAUUAUAAAACAAUAGUCAUGAAAAACUGGGCAAAAAUAGCUCAAAAGAAA